UUGGAUGAAUAAAGUUUUGAAGCCCUUGGAGCCUCCUGCAGGUAUGUUCUCAGUGUGCCACCAAGGAAGAAUUGUAGACAAGCGGGCAGGCACCAGGUGACAGAAGCUUCUGUGGCUGUUGUGUUACAGAUGUGUCUACAGGGAAGACUUCUCCAGCUUCUCCAGCUGCUACCUUGGAUGCUGCACUCAAGCCCAGCUCCCAUCUCAGGGGUCCUCUGGCAGGAGAGACCAAAGACAUGGCAGGCAGGAAAUUCCAGGACCCAUUAGAAAUCAUGUGGCAAAUGCUGAAGGAACAUCUGCAGAGAAGGCAAGAAAUGAACGGAGAGCCUGCGGAGAAAGAAGCAUUUCCCGGAGGAAGCAGUGGUUGCAUGCCAGCCUCAGCUCCAGGAAGGGAGGCCAUGCCAGGCACAGGCACAGGAG